CUGGCCAAGACCCAGAACGUGGGAGGUACCGGUUUCCACAUCAUAUGAUGAGAACGACAAACACGGCUUCAGUCCCUAAAUCCCGACUGCAAACCAGUGUGCCGGAACCAAAGAGCCGACGCUCGACUUUCCACGCGGGCGCGCGAGUGUGUUGCGACGCAUCGAUUGCUUUCGUCUGGCGGAGGCCUAUCGGGGGAGGACCGAGCCCCGGGAGGCCAAGGAAAGGAGGCGAGUCAAGGACUUCCUCCUGGGGAGGGAGCUUGGAUUCGGGAGGCCGCGCUGGGCCUGUUGGACUAGGCGUCCACGCGCGGGAGAGUUCAGUCAUGUCUGUACAUGCGGUGAUGCGCGCCCUGCGCAAGAACAAGACGCUUCGCUACGGAGUCCCCAUGCUGUUGCUGAUUGUUGGAGGCUCUUUUGGUCUUCGUGAAUUUUCACAAAUCCGCUAUGAUGCUGUGAAAAUUAAGAUUGAUCCUGAAUUAGAAAAAAAACUGAAAAUGAAUAAAGUAUCAUUGGAAUCAGAGUAUGAGAAAAUAAAGGACUCCGCUUUUGAUGACUGGAAGAAUAUUCGAGGACCCAGACCUUGGGAAGAUCCUGACCUCCUCCAAGGACAAAAUCCAGAAAUUCUUAAGACUAAGACAACUUGACUUAGUUGAUUCUUUUCUUUCUUUCUUUCUUUUUUUUUUUUUAACAAAAAUGUUAUCAACUGGAAUUCCCACUACAUAUUCAGUGGGAAGAAAAUUUCAGACCUGCAGAAGCUUGGAUGUGAGUAACGUGAUGACAGAUAAUCUUGAUAAAAAGUCACAAUAACAUCAGGCAGUGAUUUUAUGUCACACCUAUGUAGGAAAAUAAUAUCGAUUACAGGCUGAUGAGAGUUUUGGUUUUACUUAUAAUACCUCAGAUGAUAUACUAAUCACUCUCCAAAGUGUCACCUGAUGAUUGUAUUGAUACAAUUAAAACAUGUUAAGAAAAUUAUAAUGUUCUCCAUUAAGGCAAAAAUCAUGAAAUAGUACAUAUUACAUACAGAUACAGCAAAUUUGUUCAAGUAUUCCAUAGAUGAUUACAAUUUGGAAAUACUGAUUUAAGGUAUGCUUUAUGCCUUAGCAUUAUUUGCAUGCAACUUGACUGUAGUUUUGUUCUUAUUUUUUUAACUUGGGGUUUGCUGUGAUCUAAAUGCUAGGCAAAAGGAUAGAAUUGAGGGAAGUUAGUUUUUUUUUAAUUUAUUUUCUCCUUUUUACCCCUGUCUUAGCCAGCCCUGUUGCCCCACUCUCUGAUAUUUUCACACUGAGUUCCAGAUGCCUAAAGUCUCAAUUGAAAUACUCCCCCUUAUGUUGCCAAAAAAUUACAAAUCUACCUGCCUCUUGCCCAAUCAAGAUCACUAUUUUCAGUGGGUUAGUUUUAGCAAAAAGGAAACCAUGCUGAUUAUCUAGUGAUGAUAAAUCAUGAUAGAAAUAGAGAUCUGAGAGAACAAUUGGAUUUCAUGGGCCAAGAAAAAUAAUAGACCUCCACUUAAACAUUGCUCCAUGUACAAAAAGUAACUCAAAAUGGAUCUAAUUUAAAUGUAAAACUUAAAACUUUUGGGAAAAGAAGGCAGAAAGUCUUCAGGACUUAGUGUAUAGUUCUUAAAAAAUAGUUCUUCACAAAAACAUUCAUGAAAGAAAAACUUGGUAAGUUGGAUCUCAUCAAAAUUAAAAACUUUUGUUUUCCAAAGACCCCAUUAAAAAAUGAAAAUACAAUCCAGACUGAGAGAAAAUAUUUGCAAACCACAUUUCUGCUAAAAGACACAUAUCUAGAAUAUAUAAAGAAUUCUGAAAACUCAAUAAUAAAAAAGCAAACAGUCCAAUUAGUAAAUGGUCAAAAGACACAAAGUGACAUUUCACUGAAGAGAGUAUAUGAAUAUGGCAAAUAAGCACAUGAAGAGAAUGGUUGACAUCACUAGCCAUCAGGGAAAUACAAAUUUGGACUACAUUGAGAAAUCACUACACACUUAUUAGAACAGCUGAAAUAAAAAAAAGUGACAAUUCCAAAUGCUGGUAAGGAUGUGGAGAAACUAGAUCUCUCACACGUUUGCUGGUAUAAUGUAAAAUGGUACAACUGGUCUAGAAAAUUGGUAGUUCCUUUAAAAACAGCAUAGGGACUUCCGUUUCUGGUCCAACAUGUAGGAACGCCUCCCAUCCUAACAAAAAGAAAAAGCUGAAAACCUGAAAAUCAACAACUAUUCUUUGAUCCAUGGGAGAACUGAAGACACAGGACAAAAAGCACCACCUGAAAACUUGAGAUAGACAAAUACAGAGGAUCACGGGUUACCUGAAGGAGAAACAACCCAGAAGCCACUGCUGGAGCCAGCAUCAGGUAGGAAUGCUUGAAGGGUAAUUGACUAAUUACUGGAGACUGAGCAUGGACUAGCUUGACUUAAAAACUCCUGGAGACCAGGCCAGAGGCACAUUUUUGUGAGUUUUAGUUCCUGGAGCCCCACCAGUUUCUCACUCUGAAUAUUAGAGGAAAAUCUUGUGGUUUCAGCAGAAGGGAGGAGAAAUUAACCAUUCUGAAAUAUGUCCUCUAAAUUUUGUUCUCCUUAACAAAAAGCCUGGCCCCAAAGGAAACUUUUGCUAGAGACUAAUCACACUGGAUUUUACCAGAGCUUAAGCAGCUCUGGGAUAAGUGAACUACCCAACUUCAGUCCCUUCUAGCCUCCUGUUUCAACUAAAUGGAGUAGGGGUGUGGGGAGGAAGACUUGAGAGGUAGUAGUGAAAGUCAUAUUGGGACCAUGAUCACUAAAAGACUGAGACCUAAUCAUAAAACUAUAGAAUGUUCCCUCCCCCUUCACAUAACUACCACUAAAGGCUGUUCAGUGGAGUUUCUUUUACUCAAUCCAACUGGGUAUUAUGUCCAACUUCGAACAAAGAAAUUACAAGGCAUACUAAAAUACAACAAGCACAUCUUGAAAAGACUAAGCAUCAAAAUCAGAUUCAUAUAUGGCAAGGAAGUUGGACUUAUCAGACUGAGUUUAAAAUAACUAAUUAAUAUGUUUAGAGCUCUGUUGGAAAAAGUAUACAACAUGAAAGAACAGAUGGGUAAUAUAAGCAGAGAGAUAGAAAUUUUAGAAUCAAAAGGAAAUUACAGAAAAACAGUGCAACAGAAAUGCCUUUGAUGGGGUCAUCAAUAGAGUGGACAUGACUGAGGAAAGAGCACGAGAGGAAAGUGAUACCAGAUGGUAAUUUAAAUCCACAAGAAAAGACAAGGAGCACCAAUAAAGGUAUUUAGGUAAUUAUUUUUUAAAAAUUACAAUUACAUUUUCCUCCUUUCUUAAUUCAUUUAAGAACAAAUAAGACACUUACUAUAAAAUGUAUUUUGAGGUCUACAUAUGGGAAUAUAAUAUAUUAGACAAUAAUAGAGCAAAGAAGGGGUUGGCGACUGCCUUCGGCUUAGGUCAUGAUCCUGGAGUCCCGGAUCAAGUCCCGCAUUGGGCUCCCUGCUGAGCAGGGAGUCUGCUUCUCCCUCUGACCCUCUCAUGCUCUCUCUCUGUAUCUCAUUCUCUCUCUCAAAUAAAUAAAAUCUUAAAAAAAAAAAAAGGGGGGGUUGGGAAUGCACCUUUAUUGGAGCAAGGAAAUAACACCAGAUGAUAAUUGCCACAGGAAGCAAAGAAGAGAACCAAACAUGAUAAAUAAGAAGGUUAACACUUAAAAGUUUAUAAAUAAUUAAAAAACAACUUCUUUAGAGGCGCUUGGGUGGCUCAUUUUGGUUAAGGGUCCAACUCUUGAUUUCCGUUCAGGUCAUGAUCACAUGGUUGUGAGAUCGAGCCCCGUGUCGGGCUCUGCGCUCAGCCAGGAGUUUGCUGGAGAUUCUCUCUCUCCCUCUGCCACCCCCUGCCAACUCGUGCAUGUGCGCAUGCAUGUGUUCUCUCUCAGUCUCUCUCCCUCUCUCUCAAAUAAAUGAAUAUUAAAAAAAAAACUUCUUUAAAACACAGAAGAGCAUAAAUCAAUAAUUAUAAAAUGUUUGUUGGACUUGUGACAUGCAUAGAUGUAAUAUGUAUAACAAUAAUAGUACAAAAAAGUGGGGAAGGAUCAAGCCAAAUAGGAAGAAAGUUUGUAUAUCUUAGAUUAAGUUAGAAUAAAUAUGAAGUAGAUUCAGGUAAAUAAUAUAUAUUGUGAGCCCCAGAGUAAGCUUUAAGAAAGUCACUCAAAAAAUGUAGUUAAAAACAUGGGGCCCCUGGGUGGCUAAGUCGCUGGGCAUCUGCCUUCAGCUCAGGUCAUGGUCCCGUGGUCCUGGGAUCGGCCUCACGUUGGGCUCCCUACUUGGUGGGGAGCCUGUUUGUCCCUCUGCCUGCUGCUCCCCCUGCCUGUGCUCUCUCUCUCUCUUUCCCAAAUAAAUGAUAAUGAUAAAAUGUAUUAAAAAUCACAAAAGGAAUUAAAUGUUACACUAGGAAAUAUCCUUUUAAUACAAAAGAAGGCAGUUAAGGACUAGAGAAAAAUACAAAAGACAUAGAAAAUAGUAAAAAUAGCAGAUGGAAGUCCUACUUACCAGUUUACAUUAAAUAUAAAAGAAUUAUAUUCACUAAUUAAAAAGCAGAGUUUGACAGAAUGGAUAAAAACUACAAUCCAACUAUAUGCUGUCUAUAAGAGGUUCACUUUAGAUUCAAAGACACUAAGUUCAAGGUAUAAGGAUGGAAAAAUUGACACCAUGCAAAUGGUAACCAAAGAGAGCUGCUUUGGCUGUCUAAUAUCAGAUAAAGUGUACUUUGAGGCAAAAAAUUAUUACAAGAGACAAAGAGGAAUGUUUUAAAAUGAUAAAUGGUCAACAGUCAAGAAAACAUAACUGUUAUAAAACAUAUAUACAACUAACAACACAGCCCAACGAUACAAAAAGCAAAAACUUAGAAAAAGGCUAUUUUAUAAUAAUAGUAGGAGACUUCAAUACCCCACUUUUAAUAAUAAAUAGAACAAAUAGGCAAAAGAUCAUCUACCUAAGUAAACAGAAAACUUGAACAACACUGUAAAGCAACUGGACCUGACGUCAUCCGUGGAUUACUCUACCCAACAACAGCAGAAGACACGUUCUUCUCAAGUGCACAUGGAACAUUCUCCAGGGUAGACAUUAUGCAAGGUCAUAAAACAAGUCUCAAUAAAUUUAAAAGGAUUUCAACCAUACUAAUUUCAAACAUGUUCUAGGACUGUAAGAAAUCAACUAUAGAGGAAAUUUUGGAAAUUUACAAGCAUGUGAAAAUAAAAUGUAAUUGAAUGUCCAACUGAUCAGAGAAGAAAUCAAAAGUAUAAUAAAUACUUUGAGAUGAAUGAAAAUGAAGAUACAACAUACCAAAAGUAAGGGAUGUAUCAAAACAGUACUUAGUUGGAAAUGUGUAGCUAUAAAUACCUAUAUUGAGAAAAGAGCUCAAGUUAGUGACUUAACCUUUCACCUUAAUGCACUUGAAAAAGAAGAGAAAAAAAACCUAAAGCAGACAGAAGAAAGUAAAGAUUAGAACAGAAGUAAAUGAAGGAGAACAGAAACACAAUAGAGAAAUCAGCGAAACUGAAGUUUCCUUUUUUUUUUAAAGAUCAACAAAAUUGACAAGCUUUUGGCUAGAUUGACUAAUAAAAGAAAGACAAAUCAUUUUAAAAUCAGGAAUGAAAGAGGGGACAUUACUAGCAAACUUAGAGCAAUUAAAAUGAACUAUGAUAGAAUGCUAUAAAUUCUAUGCCAAUAAAUUAUGUAAUUUAGAUUAAAUAAAUUUCUAGAAAGAAACUACCAAAAUUGAUACAAGAAGGAAUAUAAAUCUGAAUAGACCUAUAACAAGAAAUUAUACCCACACACACAUACACAAAAAGCCCAGAUGCAGAUGGCUUCAUUGUGAAUUCUACAAAAGAUUCAAAAGAAGAAUUAAUUAUCAAUUCUUUACAAACUUUUCCAAAAAAGUAGAAGAGAAUGGAACACUUACCAACUCAUUCUACGAGGCUAGUAUUAUCCUGAUACAAAAACCAGGCAAAAACAUAAGAAAAGUACAGAUCAAUACCUCCUAUGAAUGUAGAUGCAAAAACCUCAACAAAAUACUAGCAAACUGAAUCCAAUAACAUAUAGAGAGGGUUAUACAUCAUGAUCAAGAGAGAUUUAUUUCAGGUAUGCAAGAUUGAUUUAACAUUCAAAAAUUAUUAUAUAAUAUACUACAUCAGUAGAAUUAAGAACAAAAACCACAUAAUCAUAUUGAUGCAGAAAAACACGACAGAAUUCAACACUUCUUCAAGAUGAAAACACUCAACAAACCAGGAAUAGGAAGAAACAUGGUUCAACUUGACAAAAGUCAUCUAUAAAACAAAAAACCAAAAAACACCUCACAGCUAUCAAACUUAACAGGCAAAGAAUGAGUGCUUUCUUCCUAAGGUCAGAAAAAAGGCAAGAAUGUCUGCUCUUACCACUGCUAUUUGACAUUGAACUUGGAGGUUUUAGCCAGGAUGAUUAGGAGGGCACAAAAUGAAAUAAGUAUCCAGAUUGGAAAGGAAGAAGGAAAACCAACAAUCUUUGUAGAUGACAUGAUCUUGUACAGACUGUAUUGUAAGGAAUUCGCUAAUAACUACAAUAAAUGAGUUUGGCACUCGAAGGGGAGUGCUGUUAGGAUUUGGUAAGACUAAGCCUCUAAGGCAGGGAAUGUUUCUUUUUAAUCCUGCCUGAUCUCUCUUCUCUCCACAACAGCAAGGACAGUGCUUUAUGAGCUGACCUUAUGUCUUUCCUGGUCUUUCCAAGUCCCUGAUACUAUGGGACCAGGAAAUUCCAGGCUGCGUGAAUUGCCUUGGCAACCUCAGCUACUGCAUCCCCUUUGUGCAGAGCUGCCUCCCUAAGGACUGACUGAUGCGUUUAGCCCAGCAGAACCAUAAACCCUGUACUCCACAACAAGGACACAACAAACCACAGAUGAGAAAAUCUUCCACAUCUGGUGCUUUGAGGAGCUGCCAACCAGCUGGGCUCUACUCUCUUUCUUCAUCUAUUUCCUCUGCCUUCAUGCUUCGUGCUCUGCUUUCUCCUGUUUUUUCUCACCUCCCUUUUCCUUGCCAACAUGGAUUAACCACAAGAAACUAGGGCUCCUGAGCAUCAGCUGCCUCUAGGCAGUAAUAAUCAGUUAUUCCUGCUGGUCCAUUGAACCUGCCUCUCCACAAACAUACUGACACACACAUACACAUACAUACAUGUGCACACACCCAGGUGUGCCAGCUGAUCCCCACAUGGUGGGAGCCUGAGUGGGAAGGGACCAUCUGGGACAGUGGCCCUGGAAGGUAGCUCUGAGGCCUGCCCUCAGCGUAAGUUGCCAGUCUGUAUCAUAUCACCAGGGGGCAUGUUUCCUCCUAUGCUGUGAAGGAAUGAUGUCUUUGCAAAUGAAUUUUCCUUGACCUGGAAAAUCUCUUUUGGGUGAAUCAAAGUUUUCCUGAGGCAUUGAGAGAACAAGAAACAGUGCUAGGUGAAUACAUGCUAAAAAAAUGUUUAUUGAAUGAAGAAUGUUAAACAGGCUCCACAUGGUGUAGUUCAGGCUCCUCUAGUGGGAAGUACAGAGCCAGAAGCUUUGAUCAGCUUUGGCCCACUCUGGUUUUUCCAAACCAGGGAAGAAACUGCCUUUGAACAAACAAAGUGUGCCACAGAACUCCUUAACAGUACCAACUUGAUCAAGGCUCCAGCAUAGAAGACACUUAUUAAAAUAAUCUACAUCAUCAUUAAUUCAAUGAACAUUUAUUAAACACUUGCCAUACACUAGGGACUUGUAUAGAUGUUGGAGAUUCAAACAGUAAGACUCUCCUCUUCAUGUUGCUUAUAUCCUUAUAUACCUUGCCCUUGAACACCAUGGGUUUGAACUGUAUGGGUCCACUUACAUGCUGAUUUUUUUCAGUGUAGUACUGUAAAUAUUUUCUCUUAUUAUUUUCUUAACAUUUUCUUUUUAUUGUAAGAAUACAGUAUAAUACAUAUAACAUACAAAAUAUGUGUUAAUUGACUUUAUGUCAUUGGUAAGGCUUCCAGUUAACAGUAAGCUAUUAAGGGUUUUUUUGGGGGGGGGAGUCAAAAGUUACAUGCAAGUUAUAUGAGUCAUAGGUUCUGAAGAGGGAUUAAUUUAACAUUGCCUGCAGAGUCUGGAGGCUUCAUAAACCUGGUUUCCCUAGAGGUGCAUUUUGUACUUGUGGAAGUUCACAGAAUACUCAGAGAAUGGUGUCUCCCUCUAGAAGGAGUAUGGAGUGAAUACUAGGGUACACAGGCAGGAAGGCAGCCUUUGACCUCAAAGUUACAGUACAAAAGGCUUGAGAUUGCAUGCUAAGAAAAUCAGCAUGAAUGCUGUAGGCAAGGGCAGGAGAAUCCCCACUCUCUUUUAUAUCUUUUCAGUAACUUCCAGCAAUGUCAAAGAUGGACUUGAAAAUCACAGUUUAUUUCCUCUCUCCUACCCCAUAUUUGACCCUGUAGUCCACUCAUGUGGACAUGAGUGUUAUUGGAGCAGCCUAAAAGCAUUGGAGACUGCUUAGGAACACUUUAGUAGGUGAAAAAUAAUAGGGGAUUAAACCAGGGACGUUUCAGUGGCAAGAGAGGCAAGGACAGAUGGGAAGGUUUCAGGGAUAGCAUGGGAAAUGUUACUCCAUGUCACCUUCACUCUAUACGAUUAUGUCAUCUCAAAUAGUACUUGAUAGGUGAGGCUUUCUCUCACUCAUCCUGGCAAAUGGUACAUGUGGGGGCUGUGCCCUAAACUGCCAAAUGCACACGUUCAUUUGUGUGCCCGUUUAACUGCCAGCUUUAAUCUGUUUUUAUCUCUGUGUUCCUUUAGCCUUUCAGUGAUCCACAAAAAGGGGGUUACUGAAUGAGUAGAAAAUACAUUCAUAAAUGACUGGAUUACAGGCCAUCUGGCAGCAAAAGCACUGCUAUUAAAGGUCCAAUGAUAAGAUAUUACACUGAUUACCACUCGACCUAACCAUUCAUAGCACUUUAAAAAGUUUUUUUUUAUUAAGCUGGCAAGCUCCCCAUCCCACAAAUAGCCACAGAGCCUAGAGUACUGGCUUCAAAAUAUUUUUUUUUUCUUAGCUGAUUUUAACGAAUAUCUAUGUGCAAGGGAGUGUUCUAAAAAGACGUUAGUCCAGAACAUGGGGGUUUCCGUAUCAGCUGACCGCGAACCCAAUUCAAGUCUCUAAAUCCCAAUCGCUGGCCGACGCACCGGAACCAAAGCGUUGACGCUUGAGUUUCCGGGCGGAGGCGCCAGUAUGUUGCGAUGGGCCGAUUGCUUUUGCCUGGCGGAAGUCUAUCAGGAGAGGACCGCGAACGCCGGGGCUGCGGCAGGCGAGCAGUGUGUGACGUCCUCGUCGCCAGGGAGCUUGAGCUGCUGAGAUUCGGGAGGCCACGCUAGCUCUGUUGGGGCGACCAAGCGGGUUGGAGAGUUCAGUUUGCACACGCGCCGAUGCGAGUCCCCUUGUUGGUGAUGGAGAGUUUUGAGUUUGGACCUGAAAAGAUGCUGUUGAUAUGCAGAGUCGUCUAAAACAGGCAGCCUGGGGUUGUGUUUGGGCCAAGAUUUCUCAUGUAAUUAUGUAAUUUCUCUCUUAAUAAAAAACUUGAUUAUAUCUUU